ensembl:lncRNA
ACUAAACCAGGACUAAACCAGGACUGAACCAGGAUUUAACCAGGACUAAACCAGGACUAAACCAGGACUGAACCAGGACUAAACCAGGUCUAAACCAGGACUGAACCAGGACUAAACCAGGACUAAACCAGGACUAAACCAGGACUGAACCAGGACUAAACCAGGUCUAAACCAGGACUAAACCAGGUCUAAACCAGGUCUAAACCAGGACUGAACCAGGACUAAACCAGGACUAAACCAGGACUGAACCAGGACUGAACCAGGACUAAACCAGGUCUAAACCAGGACUAAACCAGGUCUAAACCAGGACUAAACCAGGUCUAAACCAGGUCUAAACCAGGACUAAACCAGGUCUAAACCAGGACUAAACCAGGACUAAACCAGGUCUAAACCAGGUCUAAACCAGGACUAAACCAGGUCUAAACCAGGACUAAACCAGGACUAAACCAGGACUAAACCAGGUCUAAACCAGGACUAAACCAGGUCUAAACCAGGACUAAACCAGGACUAAACCAGGUCUAAACCAGGACUAAACCAGGUCUAAACCAGGACUAAACCAGGACUAAACCAGGACUAAACCAGGACUAAACCAGGAC